UUAGAAGCUUGCUUCUAUGACGUUAGCGGCGGACGGGUGAGUAACACGUGGGCAACCUGCCUGUAAGACUGGGAUAACUUCGGGAAACCGAAGCUAAUACCGGAUAGGAUCUUCUCCUUCAUGGGAGAUGAUUGAAAGAUGGUUUCGGCUAUCACUUACAGAUGGGCCCGCGGUGCAUUAGCUAGUUGGUGAGGUAACGGCUCACCAAGGCAACGAUGCAUAGCCGACCUGAGAGGGUGAUCGGCCACACUGGGACUGAGACACGGCCCAGACUCCUACGGGAGGCAGCAGUAGGGAAUCUUCCGCAAUGGACGAAAGUCUGACGGAGCAACGCCGCGUGAGUGAUGAAGGCUUUCGGGUCGUAAAACUCUGUUGUUAGGGAAGAACAAGUACAAGAGUAACUGCUUGUACCUUGACGGUACCUAACCAGAAAGCCACGGCUAACUACGUGCCAGCAGCCGCGGUAAUACGUAGGUGGCAAGCGUUAUCCGGAAUUAUUGGGCGUAAAGCGCGCGCAGGCGGUUUCUUAAGUCUGAUGUGAAAGCCCACGGCUCAACCGUGGAGGGUCAUUGGAAACUGGGGAACUUGAGUGCAGAAGAGAAAAGCGGAAUUCCACGUGUAGCGGUGAAAUGCGUAGAGAUGUGGAGGAACACCAGUGGCGAAGGCGGCUU
rnacentral:rRNA from 2 species